AUGAGCGGAUACACACUGGUGGUAAACGCCGCGGAGAAUUACUCAGCCGUGAACAGGAAGGAGCUCUGCGACCUGCUGCCACAUGGUCCAGCCUCCAAAGCACGCUGCUCAGUGGAAGGGACCAGGUGCACAAUGUCCAGCAAAGGAAAAGGCCAAGGGCAUCACAGAGGCACCGGCAUUGCCAUCAUUUGGCCGGCAACACCUUGAAGUCAGCCUUGAGCAGAGAACGGGGCCCACUCCGCCUGCACGUCUGUCCUGCACAGGAGGCGCGAACAAACAGGCGUUGUUUGUGGCGAUCUGUUACGCAGCGUUGCAAACAAAUAAAAAAGGGGAUCCUUUCACGUAGCCAUGGAGCUGGGAGGGAGCUCACAGAAGACCCAGCACCCCCACUUUCCCCAGAAAUCUCCCCUCUCCCCACCCCUCACCUCCGCCCCUCCCUGUAUAUCCAGAAACCUCUCCCCGCUGCCCUGCCCUACCUCAACUCCCGGCCGCUGCUCUAAUUCCCCUCCUUCCCCUACGAUACCUGCUCAGCAAAUAUGCCAUGUGACCGGGAGCUCUCCCGGCAAGAGGUAGAAAACAAGGCCAACCGAAGCUCUCAAGUGAAGGCCCGGUCAGAGCUGGAAAUACCAGGCGGAGCUGGCACGGGGAACGGCAGCCCCUUGCCAACGCCGUUGAAUGAGGUUCUUUAGCCUGGAACAAAGCCCUCCCUUUGAGGACUGACUGCCAACAGGGAGCGCUUUGUUGGGAGCGGAAUUUGAGAUGCCCGCUGGGAUGGGCAGGGGAGAAAGGUGACACCUGCAGGAGCGCCCUGUGUAAAUCCUGGAUCACAAGAACCAGCAUUUCCCCCCUUGUUGGCAAAUACGGACGCGUAUCGCGCUGACACGCCGCAGCCUCCAUCUGAUGCGCGGCCCGGGCCCUGGUCUCGAGUUUCCGGCAGGUGAUCCCUGCACAGAUACGCUCAGACAUCCGUGGGUCCUGCCAGGGGAACGGCCCCUUCUCACUCGUCAGCCCUUUAUGUUGUUAGAAGAAGGAAAAGCAAAUCCCAGUGUUGUUUCCUGAGGCGGAAAACUCAGAGGCGGGAAGGAAGCGUGGGUGACUCCAACUCGGGUGAGAGCUUGUUUAUAACACGCCCUGUGCCUCUCACUCCCUCUUUAGGGCCCGGGUCCCAUCUUACUCUGAAUAAACUCCAACGUCCUACU